rnacentral:tRNA from 1 species
AGAAGCUUAGGAUUUAAGCUUACUAAACCGGUGGCCUUCAACACCACAAAAAAGGGAAAGACCCUUAGCUUCUG